GAUUGUUUAGGUUAAUUAAACUUUGAGAUUUGCUGUUUCAAGAUUGUCAAUCAAUAGUAAUUG
rnacentral:tRNA from 1 species